UCCAGGUGACUUGGAAGCUCUCCUAUCUGUCUGUCUGUCUGUCCCAGGCAGGAGAGCAGGUACUGCAGAAGACUCUUUCUGGAAGUCAAAGCCUGCAAGUAGGAUUUUUCUGCACAGUUUGCAGUGUGAUCCUCUCUUUCUUGGGUUGAUGCUGACAUCUGGAGGCUAUGCCAUGGCAGUGUGUGCACAGUUAUUUCUACAUGUCUUUUUGCUCGUAUUCAUGGCGGCAUUUUGUAAGAAGCACCUUUUGUAUCCUGCUGUGCCUGGGUGAUUUGACCCUGGGGCAUGCCUAUUUGUUUGGAUAUAUUUGCUGAAAUCCUGUUGCUGAUUUGGAUAACAUUUCGUGUGUUUGCUGUGGUUCCCUCUGUUAGUGACAUCUGCUUGUGGUGUGAUCAGUAGGCAUGAGGACAAACUUGAAUAAAGCAGGUCUGGAUACAACACAAGCUGUGAUCUGACCAAGUUUAAAAGCCAGGGAAAACUGAAUUAGGUUUUCAGAUGAUGGAAAAUAGACUUAUUGUCUCAGCUGAUGGACAUCUGGAGCAUCACCGAUUUUCGUAAGGGGGUUCACCUGCAGUGCAGACUGUCUUACACUGCUGAUCCCCAAAAUGAGCACUAUCCAUAAUCCUAUAAGAAAGAGCACUCUGCCUGUCCUUCUUCUCCAUGCCAAUUCUCCUCGCCGCACUGUUACCAUGUCUGACCUAUGCCCUGCUGGUAGAAUGACAAUGUUUCUGUAACUCGCUUCUCUCCUAUUUGGCAUCUGUGAGGUAAGGAAGGGGUUUGGGUUUUUUAGGAUGAGGUUGCCAUUCCCCACUUUUGCCCAUGAACCAUAUUAACUGAGAAAACUGUUUGCCAAAGCAAGGCUCUAUAUGGAAAUUUCCAGUCAUGCUUUUAACUUCCUAGAAGUGUAGCUGAAAGGCACCCUGGCUGCUACACCAAAGCCCUGCACACUUUAGUAUGGUUUAUUAGUGUUUAUUACCUCACACACCAGUAUGCAAAUUGUCAUGCCCCAGAAAUUGUGCCUCUCCCUUAACAUUUGCAUCCUAAGAGGAUGUUUUCCACCUUCACAGGUCAUUUUGCCAAGGCAGGGUGAGCCCCCAGCGAGGGCUGAGGGAUGAUGACUGGGAAUUAGUGUUACCAAACCCCAGCCCUACAAAUGUGCCACAUUUGAGCAAAGAGCCUGGGCAGCUUGUAUUCAGGCUUUUGCUCAGAGACCUACUGCAAGCAAGGAAUAGACUUUUGUAACCACUGCUGGGAAUUCCUCUUUUUCAUUUGCUCCUGGCAACUUUUGACUAUUUGGCGUCACCAAAUUGUGCUACUAUUGCUGCUAUCACACUCCACUUCUAAGCUCUUUGUAGACUUUGCUGAUGGGCCAUGUUUCUCCAGGAGCUGCCCAAACAUUUUUGGGACUGUAGUGAGCUCUGCUGCAUCCAUUCUUCAUUCCAUCACCAACCUGAAGGCUGUAAGGAAGAAAGAAAUAAGGAAGAAAAGGAAAAAAGAUCUAUUAAAAAACAUUUAUGUGUUGGAGUUAUAUACUGGCAAUUGGGAAACUGACCAAAGGGUUGGGCAUUUAAUUUCUAAUUGACUUAUAUUGACUUUUGAGCAAUAUACCUGCCCUGAACCCAGCAUUUCUGUUGCAACAGACUUGCACACUAGAGAGGCUGAAUAGCUCCUGCAUGUUUUGUGAAGAGGCACACUGUUAAAGUAGGAAGAAUUGGUGUCUAGCAAUUGGAAGGUGCCUAUACUGUGCUUCUUGCAUCUUUCUUGUUCUGAACCAGCAUGUAUUAUAUUUUGAGAUUAAAUGCCUGUACUUUUGAAGUUACAAAUAGACAGAUCUCUGCUCACGUUUCUUCCCUGGUUUCUAGUAAAUGUAUAAAACAAUUUUAAAUUUAAGACCUUAACCUUGUUUUUAAAGCUUUCAAUGAGUCAUUUAAAUGAAUGGAACUGUGAAUUCUGGGGAACUUGCAGCAAUAAUUCUGACUUAUGUUUUUUUUCUGUUCUUGAUGCAUGAGUUUCUCUACGCCUUGCUAUGGUGAAAAAUCACCUUUUACUUUAAGAAGCUGGGUUCGCCUCAAGCCACAUUUGUUCUUUGAGAAUAUGGACAUCUUUCUGGCUAAUCCCUCUCAAGGAAGCUAUUAACUUAAGUUAAAUAUUCUGUUUUCAGGACAAAACCUGGUGAAGAUGAGUGGAAGUACCUGACGUACCUUCACAACAGACUUAUGUGGCAAAGAUGCAGAGAAACAGAUUACUUCUGACCUUACCAUGUGGUUCCUUUGUGCUAUCUAUCUGUGACACUGUUGUAUGUGGAAACCAUGCCCAUUCAUUUCAGACAGCUUCAUUUUUUCUGCCACGCCACCCAUUGUAGAUGAGACAGCCACACCGAAAGCUGAAUCAAGAGGAGCCAAGACCCCAAAGAAUUGGGACACUGUGAGAUGGGGACUGUUAAUGGCUAACACACAAGGUUUUGUCAAACUGCACAAGUGGUAUUUACCAUCGGAGUGACCUGCCUGCUCAGACUGGAUAGUGAGCUUGGGUUUGGUAAAAGCAUCCACAUGACCACACCAGUAGGAAAGCAUAGGAAGUUAUCUGGAUAGCAAGGCUGAAUAGGAGACAUCUGAUGGGGAGACAGGAGGGAGAAAGGGCUUCCACAGGGCUGGCACGCACCUUCAUAAACUGUUCCAUCUCCGCCACUGUGAGGUGAGUGAAGU